CAAAACACCCUUGUUCUCCCCCAAUACUUGCAACACCCUCGUUCACGUCAUGAGACUCAUUCCCCUGACACGCUCUUUCAUAAUGUUCAUCAGAGUGAAGAGUUGUGACCCUUCUCAGAUCUCCCACACGGACGAUCGUUCCCUCAUCUCGGCUCCAGACUUCCUAUCGCGGCGGCGGCUAUUGCUUCUCCGUCUGAUGUUGAUGAGGGAAAAACUAUUAACGAUAAUACACAGAAUCUUGUUAGAUAUAUGCUUUCUUCAAACCUGGAGAAGUCUGUGGUUGGGAUACCUAUACAUGUCCAUGUGUGCCUUAACAUGAAAUGGGCAAUAUAUUGCAUAAAGUUUGGGGAUGUGUUUGGUGACAUAGACUCUCUUAAAGGUUUCAAUAAUGCUUCACCUUCAUCUGCAAAGGGGACAAAUAACAAGGGAGUGAGUAAAACCCCUUCAUAAGAAGGCUCUUGUAUAGGAAGUGUAUAAAGCUUUGUUUGCAAAGCCAUAGAUCCAACAGUCAUAGUAUUUUCUAUUGUUUUUAUAAUUAUGUAUAUAUAUUCACUUGUUUCUUGGAAGAUGAUUUUUUAGUUUGAUUUCCAAGUUAGGGCUUUCUUUUUGUGAAUUAUGAUGUGGCUUUACUGAAACUAGAAACCACCAAUCCGAAGUGACAACUCUAUUUAAUUUGUUAUUCA